rnacentral:lncRNA from 1 species
UGCUUCUUUCUUUCUUAAGCCAGUUCUCCCAAAUAAUGAAGCAGCUACCUCCCACAUUGUCAAUUCACAGAGACAAAGCAAAAGCUACCAUAGCAAUUAAAGCACUGCAGAGAAGUUGAAAUGAAAAGAAAGAAUUUUGGUUCCUGUCCAUUCAUCCAAAACUAAACAAAAAUCAUGGUAAACAUCUAAAAGAAACAAAUAUCAUAGUAUGAUCAUUAUAAAACAGGUCACUAAUAAAUAAUUACCAGAAUAUCAAAGAUCACUUAGUGACUUCUCUACUCACCUAGAUUGAACCCCUUCAUAUAAAUUCUAAAUCGUGUAGACCUGAAAAACAAAGCUGCACCUUCAAUUGCAGCAAUAAAAUUCUGUAAUCUUCAGAGCUGCAUAAAGCAUGACUUACCUUUGUAUAUCUCAAGUCUUCUUCCCUGCAAACACAGACCAUGAAAAUUAAUCCAUCGAUCAUUUACUCUCAUUCAUAGCAAAUCAAUUUUGAUCUAAAAAGCAAACCCCAAAAAGUAUAAGUAAAAUCUCAACCAAAAAAUUUCUUUUUAGUUUGCAGAAACAUACCCGGUUUGUUUCCAUGGAAUUUCCCAAUUGGUCCUCUAUUUUCAUCAGCGGCCUCUACUCAAUUUUUCAAGGCCAGUAUCUUUCCUCAAAUCCAAGUCCACAAACAAUCUCACACAUUCAUGGCCUCAAAAUCAAUGGAAAACAUAAUCCACAAUCAAUGGAAAUAUUGUGUUAGGCAAGAAUCGCACAGGAUUCACAAUCAAACACAAAGAUUCAAAAUUGUUGGAAACAAACAAAAAUCCAAUUAUCUCCCAAGCCAAGUUUUCAUCCAAAACCCAGUUCAUCAUAGCAAACCCAACCAUAAUCAAACACAAAGCUUCAGUAUUGACCAAAACAAAUCGAAACCCAAUUCCUUAAAUCCCAUUCAGAAUGAAGAUGCAUUGAUUCUGGAAAUAAUUUUAAAUCGUACCUCAAGACUUCAUCGAAAUCCACUUUAGUUCUUCGUUCAAAAUCUCCAUCUCGGUUGGC